AUUGAACGCUGGCGGCAUGCCUUACACAUGCAAGUCGAACGGCAGCGGACCUUCGGGUGCCGGCGAGUGGCGAACGGGUGAGUAAUAUAUCGGGAACGUACCUUUCAGUGGGGGAUAACGUAGCGAAAGUUACGCUAAUACCGCAUAUUCUGUGAGCAGGAAAGCAGGGGAUCGCAAGACCUUGCGCUGAUUGAGUGGCCGAUAUCAGAUUAGCUAGUUGGUGAGGUAAAGGCUCACCAAGGCGACGAUCUGUAGCGGGUCUGAGAGGAUGAUCCGCCACACUGGAACUGAGACACGGUCCAGACUCCUACGGGAGGCAGCAGUGGGGAAUUUUGGACAAUGGGCGCAAGCCUGAUCCAGCCAUGCCGCGUGAGUGAAGAAGGCCUGGUGU
rnacentral:rRNA from 1 species